rnacentral:rRNA from 1 species
AUUGAACGCUGGCGGCAGGCCUAACACAUGCAAGUCGAGCGAGCGGCGGACGGGUGAGUAAUGUAUGGGGACUGCCCGAUAGAGGGGGAUAACUACUGGAAACGGUAGCUAAUACCGCAUACAAUCGGCUAGCCCAUAUGGGAUUAGCUAGUAGGUGAGGUAACGGCUCACCUAGGCGACGAGCCCUAGCUGGUCUGAGAGGAUGAGCAGCCAAACUGGGACUGAGACACGUCCCAGACUCCUACGGAGGCAGCAGUGGGGAAUAUUGCACAAUGGGCGCAAGCCUGAUGCAGCCAUGCCGCGUGUAUGAAGAAGGCCUUAGGGUUGUAAAGUACUUUCAGUCGGGAGGCGUUACCCACAGAAGAAGCACCGGCUAACUCCGUGCCAGCAGCCGCGGUAAUAC